rnacentral:rRNA from 1 species
AAACCAACAGGGAUUGCCUUAGUAGCGGCGAGUGAAGCGGCAAAAGCUCAAAUUUGAAAUCUGGCGUAUUCUACGUCCGAGUUGUAAUUUGAAGAAGGGUGCUUUGGUGUUGGCUCUUGUCUAUGUUCCUUGGAACAGGACGUCACAGAGGGUGAGAAUCCCGUGCGAUGAGAGUCCCAAUGCUAUGUAAAGCCUCUUCGAAGAGUCGAGUUGUUUGGGAAUGCAGCUCUAAGUGGGUGGUAAAUUCCAUCUAAAGCUAAAUAUUGGCGAGAGACCGAUAGCGAACAAGUACAGUGAUGGAAAGAUGAAAAGAACUUUGAAAAGAGAGUGAAAAAGUACGUGAAAUUGUUGAAAGGGAAGGGCUUGAGAUCAGACUUGGUAUUUUUUUUGCACGUACAGCGUUCGCGCUGUGCCACUACAGCUUACCGGGCCAGCAUCGGUUCGGGUGGUAGGACAAUCGUAGGGAAAUGUGGCACCUCCGGGUGUGUUAUAGUCCCUGCAUCUACUGCCUGCCUGGACCGAGGACUGCGUCUUUAUGACUAGGAUGCUGGCAUAAUGAUCUUAAGUCGC